rnacentral:rRNA from 1 species
GACGAACGCUGGCGGCGUGCUUAACACAUGCAAGUCGAACGGAAAGGCCCUGCUUUUGUGGGGUGCUCGAGUGGCGAACGGGUGAGUAACACGUGAGUAACCUGCCCUUGACUUUGGGAUAACUUCAGGAAACUGGGGCUAAUACCGGAUAGGAGCUCCUGCUGCAUGGUGGGGGUUGGACAGUUUCGGCGGUUGGGGAUGGACUCGCGGGUUAUCAGCUUGUUGGUGGGGUAGUGGCUUACCAAGGCUUUGACGGGUAGCCGGCCUGAGAGGGUGACCGGCCACAUUGGGACUGAGAUACGGCCCAGACUCCUACGGGAGGCAGCAGUGGGGAAUAUUGCACAAUGGGCGGAAGCCUGAUGCAGCAACGCCGCGUGCGGGAUGACGGCCUUCGGGUUGUAAACCGCUUUCGCCUGUGACGAAGCGUGAGUGACGGUAAUGGGUAAAGAAGCACCGGCUAACUACGUG